UCAGAAUAAGGCAGCUUCUUAUGUUUCUGGCUAGGAAACAAACAUUUGUAUGCCCACAGCCUGAAGGGAUUCAUUUGCAUCCAGACUUUGCCUCUGCUCCACCUCUGAAAUUCUACCUCUUAAAUGUGCUUAAAGAUUUCUGUGGGGCUGGGAGCUGUACUAAGGUUGAAAAGGCUGGUUGCUCCGUAAAUGCUGCUAGACCAUGGUUCUGCUAGCACCAGCUCUAUGGUUUCUGGGUCUUUUCUUAGCAGGCAAUGCAGAAGUGAUGCUGAACCAGCCUAGCUCUAUGCUGGCACCCCUAGGAAAUGUCACUCAGCUCCCCUGCACCCUGUCCGGCGACAGCAUCACAACCAUCGCAAGCCACACCAUCGUCUGGCUCCAGCGGAAGCACCAGGGCUCUCCCAAACGCAUUUUGUAUUACAAAGAUGAAUCGAACCAACAUAAAGGUUCGGGGGUCCCUGAUCGCUUUUCUGCUUUCAAAGAUGCCCAAAGCAGCACCUGCUACCUCGCUAUCUCUGGGGUCCAGGCAGAGGAUGACGGCAUCUAUUACUGCCUGACAUCGGCCGGGGGAGAAUACCACAGUGCUUUAGCUUAAGGGAGAACCAAGACCAAAACUCCAUCCCAUCCCCUUGGGGAAUAGGCUAUAGACACAGCUGAUAAGGAAGUCAAUCCGGCAGAUGGAUUUGCAUGAAGACACUUGUCAGAGUCUAGAUUCUAUUUUUGUAGUUUGGGCAGUGAACAAAAACCCCCAAAACCAUGAUUGUGUUUCAGUUCCCACUUGUAUAGACCAAUAGCAAAUCCCUUCUCUCUGAUUUCAGAUCCUUAGGUAGCUAAAUGUCGCCAUCUACAGAGAAGGAGGAGCUCCUUGGAGGCUUGGGGGUGGGGAGGAGGAAUCUAAAGGUUUGCAGAAGUACAAAAUGUGGUGAGCCAGUGUGGUUUGGUGGUUAGGGCUCAGACUAGGACCUUGGAAAUCAGGGUUCAAGUCCCC